GAAACGCGAUAGUUAAUGUGAAUUGCAGAAUUUAGUGAAUCAUCGAGUCUUUGAACGCACAUUGCGCCCAUUGGUAUUCCUUAGGGCAUGCCUGUUCGAGCGUCAUUUAAACCCUUCAAGCUCAGCUUGGUGUUGGGUGACUGUCCGCCGCCCCCGGGCGUGGACUCGCCCCAAAUCCAUUGGCGGCCGGUACGUAGGCUUCGAGCGCAGCAGAAACGCGAACUCGAGCCCGCGGUGUCGGCUCCCAGAAGCCAUCUCUUUUAUUUUGACCUCGGAUCAGGUAGGGAUACCCGCUGAACUUAAGC
rnacentral:misc_RNA from 1 species